CUCCUGCAACUUAUUCAUUUUAUUUCUCAAUGCCCUUGGGCAAUCAUUAUCCACCUGACCGUUUGAUCUCUCUUUUUGUUUUUGGUUCAGGCAUUUCUUGCAUUACUUUUUUCUUUUUUUAUAUCUUUUCUUUCUUUUUCUUUUUUUUUUAAGCAGGAUCGACCUCGAUUCCUCUUUCAUUCACAAUAAGCCUCGGCAACUUACCAGACAGCACUCCACAAGUG
rnacentral:lncRNA from 1 species